UUUCAUCUAAAUGUUUUUAAAGAAUGAUGGAUUUCCAGUGCAGAUGCAAGAAAAAAGGGUCCUCGCGCUUUCUGUCUGUCUGAUUGUGGCAGCCAAGAUUGAAUGGGGGAAUACAGUG
ensembl:snoRNA